AGUCAUAUUUCAGUUUCCCCACCUUCCAAGAAGUUGCAUCCUCUUUCAACUCUCUCUCUCUCUUUCUCUCUCUCCCUCUCUCUCCCCAACAUUUCUCUCUCUAGACCACCCCUAUCGGAAACCAUGGUGCCCAGUCUAAAACCCCAUUUGGGUCUCCUCCUCUUCUCUCUCUACAUCAUCUCCGUCCCCGCAAUUUCCCCCUCCUCCGAUCCCCCAACUGUCUACGAAAUUCUCCCCCAAUUUGGCCUCCCGAGCGGUCUCUUGCCGGACUCCGUCAAAUCCUACUCUCUCUCCGACGACGGAAGCUUCGUCGUCGAGCUCGGAAAGCCAUGCUAUAUACAGUUCGAGUACUUGGUCUAUUACGAGACGAAAAUUACAGGGAAGCUCAAAUAUGGGUCAAUCACAAAUUUGGAUGGCAUUCAGGUCCAACGGUUCUUUUUGUGGUUCGAUGUCGAUGAGAUCAGAGUCGAUUUGCCGCCGUCCGAUAGCAUAUAUUUUCAGGUGGGGAUCAUCAACAAGAAGCUCGAUGUUGAUCAGUUCAAGACUCUGCAUUCUUGCCGCGAUAAGGUCUCGGUGUUGUGUGGCCAAUCUUUGAAGCGAGUUCUUGAGCUUCCAUCUCCCAUUGAUGAAAUUCCGAUGCUGAUUACAGAGUAGCCCGGCGCAAAGAUGCUUCUGUUGAUGGAAAGGUAGCAGUGGAAGGUAUUAUUCAAUCAUUUGCCUUCUGUAUUUCCAUUUCAGGAUUUCCAAUGUUGGUGUACCUGGAAAUUUGAGUGAUGUAAUUUAAGGGGAUAAAUGUGUAUAUAUCUAUAUCGAAACUUCAGUUCUUAGUGUGCAACUAUUUUCUGUUCAAACUGUAAGAAACUGCCUGUCAGAUUUGAUGACCAACUUCAGGAUCAUCUAGAAAUGUACUGUGCUCUUAGUUAUUCUGCUCCACUGGUAUGAUACCAAGUAAAAAAAAAAAGCUGUAACGAAACUGAAGCUCAUAAAUUACUCCACUGUGUUUCAUGUCAACAUUUCGUAAUUUUCAUUUAUCAACAAAAAAAUAAAAUGUUGCCUUUAAUUUGCCAAUACUACAUGAAGCACAACACAUUUUUUCCCCAGGGAGGUGUUUUGAAUAAAGUUUUACUUGUAUUAGCAUGUCACAGGACACAUUAUGUACAUAUUCUAUGGAUAACAGAACACGCAAAAGAACAUCCAACUUCGUUUAUACCCUAAUUAUCACCAAGGGUUGUAACAUAGUAGUACUUUCUCAUCUUCCGAAGUAGAAGAUCUAGAGAGGCAAUGUUGCCAAGGUACACACACACACUAAUUCAGAAGGGUGCAGCUUCUCAUAUUCUAGAAUGAUGCUAAAAUGACCCCGUUGCAGGAACAAUUGAUCUGAAAUCAUACUGCUAAAAUGGUAUUCCAAAAGCUGAACGUUUCUAUUGAGAACUGGUUUGAGUAUGAUUUUUGAGUUCCUAACUUCCAAGUAAUAGAUGAUUUUCGUAGUACUUUCUCACCUUUCAGAGUAGAAAGAGAGUUGACAUCCCCUUGGGACACAUUGCAAAGGAAAAAUUUAAACAUUUGACAAAUUUAAAAGAAAAAAAAUAUUCAAAAGGCGAAGAAAUAAAAAUUUUACAUUUGAAAAGAAUAAGAGGUGUUGGAAAGGAAAAACAAAAAACAAAACAAAAGAAGUCCAUAGAGCAGCUAGCAACAAGCCUAUUGUCGAGGGGUCCUGAUUUUUCUAACAAUUCUGCCAUUCAGAUGGCAAAACAACGCACCAGAUGACCUCAAGUCUGAUAGAGUUUUAAAUGAAGUUGAGACUUUGAGAUUUAUCACUUUUAAAACUACAUUUUGAAUAGAACUUCUAUACUUUAUUAACCUAUUUGAAAUUCAAUAAUUUUAUCCUUCUAUAAAGUCAUACCUAACAAAUGUAAGAACACUCCAUUAAAAGUAUUCUUGUACAUUUACGGAAUUGCCAUUAAACAAAUUAAAAAAUGCUUUAAUUAUGAAAAGUAAGCAACACCAAACAGUCCAUAAUUUCAGAAAUUUGUGUGAACACUCUUCUCAUAAUGUAGUUUGAAUAUUGUCAUGACCAAAUGACAAAUCAAACCAACAAAGACCAAUCUACCACCAACCUCAUCCCGAGGGUAAUUUCGUAAUCUUAGCCAAAUCCGAAAACUUUUUUCCACAGGAAUUCAUAAGUUUUGCCGAUAUCUUCUGUGUCUCGCCAAGUCAUUCAUUGACUCUCUCUCUCUCUCUCUCUCUCUCUAUCAAUCUAGCUCUGCGUCAAUGGCGUUCCCUCCUAAGCUACUCAUCCCAUCGAUCUCUCUUUGCCUCUUCUCUCUCAUCCUCUUCUCCAACACCCAUCUCUCUCUAUCCACCAGACCCAUCAACUCAAUCACAGACGUCCACGACCUCCUCCCCCAGUACGGCCUCCCAAAGGGUAUCAUCCCAAACGCCGUCAAGUCCUACUCUCUCUCCUCUGACGGCACGUUCACCAUCGAACUCCACCGUCCCUGUUACGUCCAGUUCGAUGAGCUUGUUUGGUAUGACAAGAAAGUCAAAGGCAAGCUCACUUAUGGGUCGGUCUCGGAUGUUUCGGGCAUUCAAGCCAAGAAGCUGUUCUUGUGGGUGCCCGUGACCGGAAUGAAUGUCGAUUCCAAAUCGGGGAUGAUCGAGUUUCACGUUGGGGCUUUGUCGGAGAAGUUGCCGGCGGAACAGUUCGAGACAAUCCCCAAUUGUAAGAACAAGGGAUGUCAAGAGUCACAACCAGAGUUUGCGGCCGAGCUGUUUGAGACCAUACCCGAAUCUAUUUGAGGUGCAACCCAGAUUGAUUAUCCCGUGAUACGGAACUGGAAACCCUCCAAUUCCACCGAAAACUGGGAACUGGAAUGAACCUCGUAUGUUUUUCCACAUCUACAAAAUGAUUGUUGCAGAAAUAAAUUCCCUCGAACAUUUACACUGUAAAUUUCAUGUUCAUGUUAUGUAUACCAGGGUUUAAGGACCACUUUACAUUUGCUUC